GUAUGAAAUAGUAAAAGAGAUGAGGGGAAAUCUCCCUUAUGUGUCUUUGUAUACACAUAGGGUAAUGUAUUUAUAAUAAUAAGAGUGUGGGCUAAGCCCAAAUACAAAUGAACAUGUAAAUGAAAUAAACACAAUAUCUAACACUCCCCCUCAAGCUGGAGAAUAUAAAUCAUAUGUUCCAAGCUUGUUACAAAGAUAGUCAAUUCUAGGUCCUCGCAAGGACUUAGUGAAUAUGUCUGCCAACUGGUUGCUUGAGUUAACAAACUCAGUCUUGAUAUAUCCAGAUAUGAUUUUUUCUCUAAUAAAAUGGCAAUCAACUUC
rnacentral:lncRNA from 1 species